rnacentral:rRNA from 1 species
CCGUGCGGCGGCCUAUACUGCAAGUCGAGCGGAUCUAUGGGAGCUUGCUCCCUGAUUCACCGGCGGACGGGUGAGUAACACGUGGGUAACCUGCCUGUGAGACUGGGAUAACUCCGGGAAACCGGGGCUAAUACCGGAUAACUCAGUUCCUCUCAUGAGGAACUGUUGAAAGGUGGCUUUCACCUACCACUUACAGAUGGACCCGCGGCGCAUUAUCUAUUUGGUGAGGUAACGGCUCACCAAGGCAACGAUGCGUAUCCGACCUGAGAGGGUGAUCGGCCACACUGGGACUGAGACACGGCCCAGACUCCUACGGGAGGCGGCAGUAGGGAAUCUUCCCCAAUGGACAAAAGUCUGACAGAGCAACGCCGCGUGAGUGAAAAAAGUUUUCGGAUCGUAAAACUCUGUUGUUAUGGAAAAACAAGUGCCGUUCUAAUAGGGCGGCACCUUGACGGUACCUAACCACAAAGCCACGGCUAACUACAUGCCACCACCCGCGGUAAUACAUAUGUGGCAAGCGUUGUCCGGAUUUAUUGUGCGUAAAGCGCGCGCACGUGGUUUCUUAAAUCUGAUGUGAAAGCCCACGGCUCACCCGUGGAGGGUCAUUGUAAACUGGGGAACUUGAGUGCGCAAAAGAAAAGUGGAAUUCUCAGUGUAUCGGUGAAAUGCGUAUAUAUUUGGAGGAACACCAGUGGCGAAAGCGACUUUCUGGUCUGUAACUGACACUGAGGCGCGAAAGCGUGUGGAGCACACAGGAUUAUAUACCCUGGGAGUCCACGCCGUAUACGAUGAGUGCUAAG